UAACAAUAAUAGUCUUUUCUGAAUCAUGAUUUUCGAAAUCAAAAUUUUAGUUUAGUACUAAUAUGAAAGACAAAUUAACAUUUACAUCUUGAACAGAUGUUAUAUGAUAGGUUUUGUAGUUUAUAUACACAUUACGGGAAUUGAUCUUUGACAAUUGAACAGUUGUCAUCAGUGACGCUCGAAUCCCAAAAAGCUAGAAAAAAAGGCCAA
rnacentral:lncRNA from 1 species